UAUAGGAAAAUUACAUAGUCGUGUACGAAAAAGAUGCAAAUUGUACGAAAGAAAGGAAAGAGAAAAUACUAGACGGGCGGAAAUGAAAUUGAAAGAAAACGCGUUCGAAAAAAGGAGGAAGAGUUUACAAAAGGUGUAAAGAAAAGAACAGGAGAGGAAAGGGGGCGUCGAAGACAGGGAGUAGGAGGGAGGUGUGGAAGGAGCACGAGAGUACGGAGCAAGAAACGCAGCACGAGGGCUGUGCACACGAGCUUGGGGAAACAUACGUAUGCGCAUUAAUGUGUGUGAACGCACCGCGUGCGCUAUGCGCUGCGUCUGUCCUUGCGUCCUGGCUCAACACGCCUUGGCAGUUGCCAUGCGGGACACCGGGUUCGUGAGUUGACGUCACUCUAUCUCCCAACAGACGAGUUAAUAUUGAUAAGUAGAAGCGUUACAUGCCCUGGAUGUUGGGAUGAAGGGACAUCAGCUCAAACCAAGUCGAAUAAUCGACGCGCGUUUCGCAAACCAGUACCAUAAUGUGAUCUUUUUCGUUAGCCAAAUAAUGUUUAAGAUACUGAAAGGGUAUGUGGCACGUGAUAUCACUAAUUUAGAAAUAUAUUAUUUUAAAAUUAUCAGUCAGAUUUAUGGAUGUUUAUGUAAAUUUAUGUUGAUGAUUAUAAGAGAAAAACAUGAUAAGUACAUUUUUGUUGAAUUGUUGAUUAUAAUGUCAUUGGGUGAGUAAAAGGGAAUAUUUCAAUACAAAAUAGCUAAAGAUAAAAAAAAUCCGUUAGGUCUAGCUGAAGCUUUACAUAAUUGUUAAGACAAAUAACAUUUUAAUAUCCGGAAUAUUUUAAUAUCAUACAAAGUAAUGUUUCUUCAACUGUAAAGAGGGUGGAAAAAUAUAUAUGUUUAGCUCCAAAAUUAAGCAAUAGACCAAUUUUGGUAACGAUAGAUUAAUUGACAAAAUUGUCCUCCUGUAAAAAAUGGUAAAUUUCCUUUUUAUGAAAACCUACUAAACCAAAAGUAAAACUUACACAGAGAUUUGUUUCACUCACUAAAUAUCAGAAGUACUGCAUUUUGAAUAUUACAUCUUUUAUGCUUUCUGUGCAUUUUGAAUUUUAACAUUUCCUAUAAAUGCACAAACAUCCGCAGUCUAAUCGAAAAUCAAACUACAGAGACGCGUCGGUGGCGUGGUUAUAACUGCGCCAUUAAUAAGAGUAGUGCUGCAAAUUGAUGAAAUGCAAUAUGGGUGAAAUGAGUUUGCCAAGGGGGAGUUAGCGAGGGUCGUGUAGAUCGCUCGAAAGCUCAAAAUAGAUCAGGGGUGGAUUCGUACCAUCUGGACCUUUAAUUUCAGGGGACGUAGUCCCAGACCACGAUACGAAAGAAAUAUUAAUGAACGGAAGUCACUUCGUUAUUAUGCUUCACUGGCCUCUACUGUUUGUAUACGAUUGAUCAUCCACAAGCUUACAGGACGAGUAAGCAUUUUCAUAGCUGUGGCUAGAUUACGUAGCGAGAUAGAAACAAAACCCAGCGCCACCGUCCAUGAAGCACAAGUGUCAUUUUCGAAUAGGUCAAGGAAUAUAUUAUUCGACUAUCUUGAAUAAACAUGUAAUAAUCUUUGUUUUACCAGAAUAUAUCUUAUACAUCUUAAAUGUUUAUUUGAAUUCGUCACAACUCAAAAAUCGUGAUCAAGUGUUAUUUACUUGAUUUAUUGUAUAUUAAUUUUUAUAAAAAUUCAGAAAGAAAGCAAUGAAAAAUAUAAACUGUACCCACAUAUAUCCUUGACCUUAUUAAAAAGGAAAGAAAAUAAAAUAUGGCAAACGAAAAGAUUCUAUCGUGUUAUAAUCCAAGAACCGUACCUAAGGUGUAGAUGGUGAAGGUAUCGAGCGCUAAAGGGUUAAACGUGAACGUUUGAACAAGCGUGAAGUCCCAUUCGAGGCCGACUUUUCCAGGAAUGACUUGUUAAAGAAGGAAUUUAUCGGUAGGUUUUACGGUUCUCUUCGUCGUUGCUUUGCCUUUAUUGCAAAGCAAAUACAUAUAGAGAAAUGGGACCAGAGCUGAUGAUAUGUCGGAAGGGAGGAUCCAGUUUGCGCGAAACGUGUCUGUGGUUAAUCAGAGCUUUCCAGGUCAGAUACGCAACGCCUGUUAAACAUUAAAUAAAUGAUACGAUUUUAUUUUCUGUUGCUUAAGUGCUUCUUUGAUAAGUAAACGAAGUAGAUAUCACACAAAUUCAAAUUUAAACGACCCCUCUCCAUCACGAUAAUAGUAUAUACGAUUAAUAAAUAAUUAAUCUAUAGUAUCAAUACCAUUAAACAUUAUUAUUUAUCACACAUAUUAGUAAUAAUAAUAUUGUCAUUAUAUAUGUCGUUAGUUUUUGAAAACACGGUGUAGGGAAUUUUGUAUACACAAUGUAUCUACAUUUCCUCAUGAAAAAGCAAUAUGGCCGCUA